CCACAAUGAAACUUUGAAUCCCACACUUAAUUUGUAGUUUCAACUUCCCAAGAAAGUUCUAAACAGAUUUAAGACAAACAAAACCUUGACCCAAUGCUUAAGAAAACAUGAACCAAAGGUAUAGAGAAUGGUAUUGACGCCACACUCAAGAAAUAGAUGAGAAGGUGAGUGAUAAGUCUAAAUUUGGAACGCCACAAGAAUGCAAAUUCUUGAUAAGUUCACUAGUUCUCAAAAGAACCAAAGAAAGAAUGAUCUUUCAAAUUCAAAUAACAUUCAUCUCUAAUUUUCUUACAUACCAAGGUUGCUGAAUUUAAAUAGGCUAAAAGAAACCCAAGAUCCUAAAAAUCCAAAUGGAAACAUUGGAACAACCCUCCAAGUAGGUUUGUCAAAAGAUGUUUCAAAAGUCUUCACCAACCCACCAUAAUCAAUGCUAUCUUUGACAAACUUAAUGCUAGCCUACUAUAAUUAAUGCUAUCAUUGACAAACUUAAUGUUAGCCCACCAUAAUUGAUGGUAGACUUACCUUACACAUUGACAAGCUUGAAACAAAACAAACAAAUAAGUUGAAAAACAAAGGAUUCGUUGAAAAUCCCAAGUCUGAACAAGCUGUAAAGAAUUGGUCAUAACUCCUUCUAGAGAACUCCAAAUCCAGCUCUGUAAAAUUUAUUGGAAAGCUAACUUAAUUAUCUUUCCA
rnacentral:lncRNA from 1 species